rnacentral:rRNA from 1 species
GAUGAACGCUGGCGGCGUGCUUAACACAUGCAAGUCGAGCGAUGAAGUUUCCUUCGGGAAACGGAUUAGCGGCGGACGGGUGAGUAACACGUGGGUAACCUGCCUCAUAGAGUGGAAUAGCCUUUCGGAAAGGAAGAUUAAUACCGCAUAAUGUUGAAAGAUGGCAUCAGUCAUUUAACCAAAGGAGUCAAUCCGCUAUGAGAUGGACCCGCGGCGCAUUAGCUAGUUGGUGGGGUAACGGCCUACCAAGGCGACGAUGCGUAGCCGACCUGAGAGGGUGAUCGGCCACAUUGGGACUGAGACACGGCCCAG